AUACAUAGGGGGCGAGCGUUAUCCGGAUUUAUUGGGCGUAAAGGGUGCGUAGGCGGUAAAUUAAGUCUAAGGUUAAAGUGCAGGGCUCAACCCUGUGAUGCCUUAGAAACUGGUUUACUUGAGUUUGGUAGAGGUAAGUGGAACUCCAUGUGUAGCGGUAAAAUGCGUAAAUAUAUGGAAGAACACCAGUGGCGAAGGCGGCUUACUGGGCCACAACUGACGCUGAGGCACGAAAGCGUGGGGAGCAAACAGGAUUAGAUACCCUAGUAGUCCACGCUGUAAACGAUGACAACUAAAUAUUGCCGCGAGGCAGUGUUGAAGCUAACGCAUUAAGUUGUCCGCCUGGGGAGUACGGUCGCAAGACUGAAACUUAAAUGAAUUGGCGGGG
rnacentral:rRNA from 1 species